rnacentral:rRNA from 1 species
CGGUCCAGACUCCUACGGGAGGCAGCAGUGGGGAAUUUUGCGCAAUGAUCGAAAGAUUGACGCAGCGACGCCGCGUGGACGAUGAAGGUUUUCGGAUCGUAAAGUCCUUUCAGCGAGAAAGAAUGUAUUUAGGAGUAACUGUCUAAGUAUUGACGGUACUCGCAGAAGCAGCCCCGGCUAACUCCGUGCCAGCAGCCGCGGUAA